rnacentral:sRNA from 1 species
GAGACCCCGGGUGACGGGCCCGGCGCCGCUAACUGGACGGAACCCCAGCGUCCGCCGACAUGGCCUGGACCAAGUACCAGCUGUUCCUGGCCGGGCUCAUGCUCGUUACCGGCUCCAUCAACACGCUCUCGGCAAACUCUGAACAUGACCAGUGCCUCCAGCUUCCAGAUGCUGCGGGGUGCAGUGAUCAUAUUCACUGGCCUGUUCUCAGUUGCCUUCCUGGGCAGGAGGCUUGUGCUGAGCCAGUGGCUGGGCAUCCUAGCCACCAUCGCAGGGCUGGUGGUCGUGGGCCUGGCUGACCUCCUGAGCAAGCACGACAGUCAGCACAAGCUCAGCGAAGUGAUCACAGGCCUCUUUGGCUUUGUGAUCCUCUCCCUGCUGCUGGUGCCCAUGUACUACAUCCCUGCCGGCUCCUUCAGUGGAAACCCUCGUGGGACACUAGAGGAUGCAUUGGAUGCCUUCUGCCAGGUGGGCCGACAGCCACUCAUUGCCGUGGCACUGCUGGGCAACAUCAGCAGCAUUGCCUU